AACGUAGGUUCCGAGCGUUAUCCGGAUUUACUGGGCGUAAAGCGCGUUCAGGCGGUUCGGCAAGUCGGGCAUGAAAUCUCUCGGCUCAACCGGGAGAGGUUGUCCGAUACUGCUGGACUUGAGGGCAGUAGAGGGUGGUGGAAUUCCGGGUGUAGCGGUGAAAUGCGUAGAUAUCCGGAGGAACGCCGGUGGCGAAGGCGGCUUCCUGGACCGACACUGACGCUGAGGCGCGAAAGCUAGGGGAGCAAACGGG
rnacentral:rRNA from 1 species